rnacentral:rRNA from 1 species
GUGGCGAACGGGUGAGUAACACGUGGGCAACCUGCCCUCCACUCUGGGAUAACUCCGGGAAACCGGGGCUAAUACUGGAUAUGACCUUCUGGCGCAUGCCGGUGGGUGGAAAGUUUUUCGGUGGAGGAUGGGCCCGCGGCCUAUCAGCUUGUUGGUGGGGUGAUGGCCUACCAAGGCGGUGACGGGUAGCCGGCCUGAGAGGGCGACCGGCCACACUGGGACUGAGACACGGCCCAGACUCCUGCGGGAGGCAGCAGUGGGGAAUAUUGCACAAUGGGCGAAAGCCUGAUGCAGCGACGCCGCGUGAGGGAUGACGGCCUUCGGGUUGUAAACCUCUUUCAGCAGGGACCAAGCGUGAGUGAGUGUACCUGCAGAAGAAGCACCGGCUAACUACGUGCCAGCAGCCGCGGUAAUACGUAGGGUGCGAGCGUUGUCCGGAUUUAUUGGGCGUAAAGGGCUCGUAGGCGGCCUGUCGCGUCGGGAGUGAAAGCCCACUGCUUAACGGUGGGUCUGCUUUCGGUACGGGCGGGCUAGAG